rnacentral:rRNA from 1 species
CCUACGGGCGGCAGCAGUGGGGAAUAUUGGACAAUGGGCGAAAGCCUGAUCCAGCCAUGCCGCGUGUGUGAAGAAGGCCUUCGGGUUGUAAAGCACUUUCAGUGGGGAAGAAAGCCUUGGGGCUAAUACCCUCGAGGAAGGACAUCACCCACAGAAGAAGCACCGGCUAACUCCGUGCCAGCAGCCGCGUUAAUACGGAGGGUGCGAGCGUUAAUCGGAAUUACUGGGCGUAAAGCGCGCGUAGGCGGUCUGAUAAGCCGGUUGUGAAAGCCCCGGGCUCAACCUGGGAACGGCAUCCGGAACUGUCAGGCUAGAGUGCAGGAGAGGAAGAUAGAAUUCCCGGUGUAGCGGUGAAAUGCGUAGAGAUCGGGAGGAAUACCAGUGGCGAAGGCGGCCUUCUGGACUGACACUGACGCUGAGGUGCGAAAGCGUGGGUAGCAAACAGGAUUAGAUACCCUGGUAGUC